UAAACCGAUGAGUGCUAGGUGUUGGGAGGGGUUUCCCGCCCCUUCAGUUGCUGAAGCUAAACGCAUUAAAGCAACUCCCGCCUGGGGGAGUACGGUCGCAAAGGCUGAAACUCAAAGGAAUUGACGGGGGACCCCGCACAAGCGGUGGAGCAUUUUGGUUUAAUUCGAAGCAACGCGAAGAACCUUACCAACUCUUGACAUCCCCCUGACCGGUACAGAGAUGUACCUUCCCCUUAAGAAAACAAAGAGUGACAGGUGGUGCAUGGUUGUCGUCAGCUCGUGUCGUGAGAUGUUGGGUUAAGUCCCGCAACGAGCGCAACCCUUGUCCUUAGUUGCCAGCAUUAAGUUGGGCACUCUAGGGAGACUGCCGGUGACAAACCGGAGGAAGGUGGGGAUGACGUCAAAUCAUCAUGCCCCUUAUGAGUUGGGCUACACACGUGCUACAAUGGACGGUACAAAGGGCAGCGAAGCCGCGAGGUGGAGCCAAUCCCAGAAAGCCGUUCUCAGUUCGGAUUGCAGGCUGCAACUCGCCUGCAUGAAGUCGGAAUCGCUAGUAAUCGC
rnacentral:rRNA from 1 species